rnacentral:rRNA from 1 species
UACGGAGGGUGCAAGCGUUGUCCGGAUUCAUUGGGUUUAAAGGGUGCGCAGGCGGGCCAUUAAGUCAGGGGUGAAAGACGGUUGCUCAACAAUCGCAGUGCCUUUGAUACUGGUGGUCUUGGGUGACCGUGAGGUAGGCGGAAUGGGUGGUGUAGCGGUGAAAUGCAUAGAUACCCCCCAGAACUCCGAUUGCGAAGGCAGCCUACUGGAGGUUCACCGACGCUCAGGCACGAAAGCGUGGGGAUCAAACAGG